GGCCACUCUGUCAAGAAAAGGAGAUUGGUAUGAACACCUCAUGCAGCCAUGUCUAACUACAACAGAGCAUCUUGUUGAUACACUUCACAGCCCGAUACAUCAGAAGUUUACUGUAGCCUUUGCCUACACACUUCCUCCUGCACCCCUUUCAAGACGUGUGCGAAAGAUGGCUGCCUCGAAGGUGGAUAAUGGACCAUCGAAGGAAAUGCUAACACCGAAUUUUCUGCUUAUUUCGGUUUGGUGAUGCUUGUCGAGUGGGCAGUGACCAGUUAGAAAGGACAGUGAGGUGUCUACCUCCAGUCACCUAGAAGUGAGCGAGGAAGAGAAAGCGGGUUCUGUAAAAUAGUGGAGCUUUGCUGCUGUUGUUUGGUCUGCUUUGCUGGUGCCUGCAAAUACCACCACCCUUUGCACCUGCGAUAAAGGACCUCGCUUUUAAAUCACCGAUGACAUGGACCAAUGUAAUUGAGUUCAGAGACGAU